UCAAAAGUUACCUUCCAAUGCCUGGACUGUGAUCACACCUGUUUCUAAUUGACUGAUAAGGAGGAGUAAUGUUUUGCACCUGUGCCACUUGCACAUACUCUGCCCUCCAGCCAAACAGAAAUUGACGCUUGCAGAACCCAGCCUGUUAGGGCUGACCAUGUUAAAGGACAUCAGACAUUAAAAAAAGCGGAGCCCUUCAGGGGAGAAUUUUUGUUGAACGGCAACCCGAGCAGAACAGCUUGGAUUUAUUCCGCCAGCAAAAAAGGUACUGGAGAUGGGACAGAUAAGUGUUUUGUCAGAUGGAUGUGGCUGAAAACAGAAAACUCAGCUGAUCUUGUAUUUCACGGCCUAGAGUUCACCAUUUUUUUUUCUCUCCAUUCUCUGUGGGGCGUAUAUUCUUCAGCAGUCUGUGAAUCAUUUCAGAGACGUGGAUACGUGUGCAUGUCUAAAGCAAACCCCCAACCAAGACCAACACAAAUGCAGUCGUCACAACGACCAUCACAGGGGAUUAACAAGUUUCUGACAGGACUCUCUGUGGGAUUUUCUGCUGUGAGGCACUCUCAGCAAACACUUCAUCAUCACACCCCCAAAAGAACAUCACCCACCCAGAUUGAAAAGGACAGGUUCAGGGUGAGGGCAAGGCAAAGAGGGGAGCGAUGGAAGAUGUGAAGUAUGGAAGGAGGUGCAGCAACCGCUGUCCACUAAUGAGGUGCCAUGCUCCUGCUAUAAACCACUGUGGACAGAUAUAGCCAGAGGACAGCUGCACAGUGAGCGUUGUUGGAUGAGUUGCUGGGUGAAUUUGUGUGUUAGAAAAAUCAGGCUCUCCAUUAAAGGCAAUGGCUAAGUUGUACAUUGUUAAAGGGAUAGCUGGAAUUUGUGAAAGUAAGGCCUCAUGGAGACGAACAGUUGGUAUCUUAACUGCAGAGGAGAGCAGGACCAAAAGAAACUGUAUUAUGAACUUUUACUUUUACUUUUUAUGAUGCUCCUAUUAAAGGCCAUGGGGAAAUUUAAGACUACCCUUGCUCCUUCCACAGGACCUAAGGUAAGAGAGUAGCCAGCAGGGUCAUCAUUAAUUUAUCAGUAAUUAUUAGCAUCUUGUCUGGAACACACAGGAAUGUGUCUGCUCAGAGUUAUUGUGAGUUAAUCCUGCGGCAGACCCAGAAUUCAGUGGGUAGUAUAAUACAGUCCUUACGUGUAAGCACACUUUGGGACCCUUCAGGAUGAGCUGGAGAAUAAUUCUGACUGGACCUGUUGCACCUUUGAACACAAUAAAAAGACGGCUUGCUUGGUGCAAUUGCUAAGAGAUGGCAUAUUUCCUUUUAAAGGAAAAUGGCAGCAAGGUCUAGGUUUACAAAGUUGGAUCUAUCUCUGCAUAAAGACUCAUGGAACAAUGUCCUUUGGGCAGAUGACAGUAAUAAUGCAAACUGUUGAAAACCAAGCACACCAAUUUCAUAAACGCAUCAUUUCUUCUCUAGAGCAUGGAGAUGAGGGAGUGAUGGAUUGCGCAGGUCCCUUUUUAGUCAAUGAACUGAAUAUAAACUUCUCUCAAACAAAGCAUUUCAGAACAUAUUGUAUAAGGCAGAUGGGUUUCCAACAGGACAAUGAUACCAAGCAUAGCAGGAGAUCUUCAACAGGAGAUCAAAAUGUGAUGCUGUGCAGAAAGAAUUCCUCAAUUAAAUGAAGCAAUGUGGUAAAAACGUUGUCCUCAAAACUGUACGCAGAAAAUAAAAUGUGCAUAAACAAUGUGUGUUUUAAAAAUUA